rnacentral:rRNA from 1 species
GCAAAAACAUCGUCUGAAAUUAUUUUAGAUAUAAUCUGCCCACUGAUUAUUUAAAUGGCCGCAGUAUCUUGACUGUGCUAAGGUAGCAUAAUCAUUAGUCUUUUAAUUGAAGACUUGUAUAAACGAUCUGACGAGAAAUAAACUGUCUUUAUUAUUUUCAGUUAAUUUACCUUUAAGGUAAAAAGGCCUUAAAAUCUUAGAAUGACAACAAGACCCUAUAAAAUUUUAUUUUAAAUUUUACAAAAAAAAAUUGUAAGAGUUCUAUAAAUUUCAAUUUAAAAUUAAGCUGGGGCGGCUAUUAAUUAAACGUUAACAUAUAUAACAUAUUGAAUGAAAAAAUUUAACCUAAAUUUAAAAAUAAAAACAAAUUACUUUAGGGAUAACAGCGCAAUAUUAUUUUAGAGCUCUUAUCGACAGUAAUGCUUGCGACCUCGAUGUUGAAUUGAAAUACCUACCUAGAGCAGCCUCUAGACCAGGAAGUCUGUUCGAC